rnacentral:tRNA from 1 species
UCCCUGGUGGCUCAGAGGUUAAAGCGUCUGCCUCCAAUGCAGGAGACCUGGGUUCGGUCCCUGGGUUAGGAA